GGGAGAUCGGCGGCGGACGAAUCUAUCGCCAACCCGGUCAGGUCCGGAAGGAAGCAGCCGCAGCGAUUUCAGAUUUGGGUCGUUGUCCGGUCUCCCACC
rfam:Phaeospirillum molischianum DSM 120, WGS project CAHP01000000 data, contig: DSM120_global_c18-2373